UUUCUUUUCUGGUUCACAAGCAUGAUGACUGGGUGUUCAUGUGGUUAUGUGACAUGUGCCGCCCUCAAACCUUGUUAUGCAUUGGUACAUUACCCAUCUGACA